rnacentral:rRNA from 1 species
GACGAACGCUGGCGGCGUGCUUAACACAUGCAAGUCGAGCGGUAAGGCCCUUUCGGGGGUACACGAGCGGCGAACGGGUGAGUAACACGUGGGUGACCUGCCCUCAGCUCUGGGAUAAGCCUGGGAAACCGGGUCUAAUACCGGAUAUGACUCCAUGACGCAUGUUGUGGGGUGGAAAGCCUUGUGCGGCUGAGGAUGGGCCCGCGGCCUAUCAGCUUGUUGGUGGGGUGAUGGCCUACCAAGGCGACGACGGGUAGCCGGCCUGAGAGGGCGACCGGCCACACUGGGACUGAGACACGGGCCCAGACUCCUACGGGAGGCAGCAGUGGGGAAUCUUGCGCAAUGGGCGAAAGCCUGACGCAGCGACGCCGCGUGAGGGAUGACGGCC